rnacentral:ribozyme from 11 species
AUUGACACACAGAAAAGAGCUGAUAGAAAGACAGACAAAAAGGCAGAAAGGAAUCAAGAAAGUGUGUGCAUCCAACGAAUGCCCUCAUCAAAGUACUUUCUUUGUUUUCUUCUCUUUUCUCUUUUU